CGGCAGGCUUAACACAUGCAAGUCGAGGGGUAACAUUGUGCUUGCACAGAUGACGACCGGCGCACGGGUGCGUAACGCGUAUAGAACCUACCUUUUACAGAGGAAUAGCCUUUAGAAAUGAAGAUUAAUGCCUCAUGGUAUUGUAGACUGGCAUCAGUUUAUAAUUAAAGAUUUAUCGGUAAAAGAUGGCUAUGCGUCCUAUUAGUUAGUUGGUAAGGUAACGGCUUACCAAGACAGCGAUAGGUAGGGGUCCUGAGAGGGAGAUCCCCCACACUGGUACUGAGACACGGACCAGACUCCUACGGGAGGCAGCAGUGAGGAAUAUUGGACAAUGGAGGAGACUCUGAUCCAGCCAUGCCGCGUGUAGGAAGAAUGCCCUAUGGGUUGUAAACUACUUUUAUACAGGAAGAAACACUGGUAUGUAUACCAGCUUGACGGUACUGUAAGAAUAAGGACCGGCUAA
rnacentral:rRNA from 1 species